ACAAUACAAAUAAAAGAAUCUCAACCUUGCAAAUGCAAAGAAUUCGGGAGUGGUUUGUAUUCGUUGUUCCCAGAUUAGUACAUAAAUUACUGCAGGAUUAACUGGUAAGAAAAUAAGAGUAAAAAGUAUUAGUUUUUAUUUAAGAAAUAACAUCCUAUCUCCAAGUACCAUCUGCAACCUUAGAUUUCUUUCUGUUUCCGUAUUAAUUACAGCAAACAAACAUGAAGUGCAAGCACAUGGCUUGCCAACAUCGUGAUGAAGAUGUAGGUCAUUGGUAACCUCUCUAAUUCUCUUACUUGGGGACUUUCCCCAGGAAAUUCACAUUGACCCAUUAGCCAGGAGCAAAAGUAACUGAGUUCUCUUUGCAAAGUGACUGAGUUCCUUCAGAUGAAGCUGUUGUAUUUGUGAUUGAAAAUGUGGGAAAAUGUAAGAUGGAACCCAGGCACAAAUGCAGAGUGACUGAAGGAAAGAAGACAACCAAAUGCUGUAGAGAGCACCAGGAUUAACCUGUAGAAGUCUUUAAAAGUUCUAUUUUGUCAAAAGCAGAGUAAAACAAGUGUUGUCUAGAAAUCCCACAUAAAAUUGUCCAUUGAUUUGUCUAAUUUUCAUUGCAGCUCAAUUACAUACUUUAAGGAUCUGGUGAAAGACUAAUAAAUAAGAAGAGGACGUGAAGAAGAACAGGAACUAUGAGUAGUUUGGGAAGCAUGGGAAUCCCAGUCAGGAACAGGUCCUGGGCUCUCCAGAUUGCUGAGGCAUAAACAGAGGCUUAGGAUGAAAUGUUGGUUAGGGGCUCAAAAAGGGAACUUGGCAAGCUGUGAAGCUGGAAGAAGUACAUCAUAUGCCCUGAUUUCAAUAAGCAUAAUGUGAUGUCACUUGGCAAUGUUAUGUUUCUUGGUUAAUCGUUUAGUUUUAUCAGCUUGCACGCACAUCAUCUUAUUAAACAGUAACUGUCCUUCAUUAAUCAUUGAGUUCGAGGCCAAGAAAACAGCUAGAGGCCAUAUUAUUCUUGGGCUCAGCAGAUGAUGAACGAUUUGCAAGAAGGAACGUUGCUUUCUGCCACCCACCACUAUUUCCUUGAAUAAAGGGCCGGGAGAUGAUAAUGCUGGGCCACUAGAACUGAUAAAUCAGACUUGCAGCCUAUGCCUAGGUAAUGUAAAUUCAGAACAGGCAGAAUUUGGAUGAACACAGGACUCCCAAGCAGAAGCGUCAAGCCAAUGAACUGCAAUGCGGAUACCUGUGCCCCAGACACAGCUCCAGACCAUUCAGGUUUCUGUAAAACUAUAUUUUCUGUUUAAUUCAUACAAUAAAUUUAAACUACUUGGUUUCAAGCCCAGGGUAGCAGGAGUGUGUUUCCAAAGUUCUUCUCUUUGUUGUAGACCUGGAAGGAAAACAAACCAACCAUUUCUCCGAUUAACUUCUAACUAGUUAAAACCAGCCUGUUAACAAAGCUUUUAUUUGUUAUUCUAACAAUUGACUUCUGGCUGUCAUCACAUGUAUUCAGAUCCUUGCUCAAACCACUGUGCUGAGCAGAUAACUUACAUGCAGCAGCCCCUAAUUUUCUCUGUGUAUCAGGUCACCCGCCAGAAUAGGAAUCAUGCAGGGAGACAAAUUGUGUAAUAGCGUGCACGUACAUGACUGGUGUCAAAAAAGUGGCUGAAAGAAGGAUCUUUUUCCUCCUCCGGCUUUAGAGGCUGUAACUUAGGUUUCAUUCCUCUUUGGAGAGCUGGAGCAGCAAGCCUUUUUCUGGUCAAUGGUAUCUGCAACAAAAUAGCAGUUGCAUUACAUUAUAGUCAGUCAAAUUAGAGCAUCCUUGUGCCCUCACCAACAACUUCAUGGGCACAAAUGAAAACUGGCUAAAUAUGAUGCUGCCAGUGUCAAACCCCUACCUCCUCCUGCAAAUUUUAAGGUGUAUAGGCGUGUUUUCAGGAUUUCAGGACACAGGAAGGAUGGAAGGCUUCAUACAGAUCACUUACCAUCAUUCGACAACGUAGAGAGUAGGCAUAGACUUGGUGCCAGUCUGUCAGAGAUUUAGGAUUAGUGUUACCACUGACUUUGAGAUUUUAAAUUAAGCAGCAAAAAGCAACCCUGUGUCUGCAGCUCAAGAUGCUUGAACUGUGUGUCUGAUCCAGGAUGUUUACUCAGAGGUGCUGACAACAUUAACAUUCUCUCCAUAAAGAGCUGUUGUGGAAAAUGUGUUUUUCUCUGUGGGAGUGGUUGCAUGUGCCUGCUCUGUAUGUUAGUAUAUGCUUACGUAUCUUCUGCCUCUGCAAAAGGAAAUUCCUCUGCCUCUGCCUCAUCAGGCUUAAAAUGGGUUUGCUUUCCUUGCCUUGUCAGGAAAAGCAACAAAGAUGCCCACAUUGCCUUUGUGAUUAAUAUUUUUCUUUCUAGGUUUGCUGUACAUCUUUUCCCAGUUUUCGUUGUUGUUGUUAUUUUUCUAUUGUAUUUUUUCUAGUGUAUUGUUAAAGCCUGGACACUGCAUGGAUUAGUGACUGGAUCUGUAUCAGCCAUCAUUUGAUUCUACCUCUUUCUUACCCCCAGAGAAAAACCUGGAUCUUCCUAGGAACAUGAAUCUUCUUCAUGUGGGAGAAGCCCAUCGGUUUACCAGUGAUUUCCAUGAGAAAUGUGAUGGUGUUACGCAGAGCUUACUCUAUUACCAACUCCGCAGGAGAACAGAGGUGUCCCAGCCUACUGAAGUGUGUUUUUGCCAGACCUCAUAAAGCAACACGGGUCUGCAGUGAGGGGCAUAGACAACACAUCUGCAAGAAACUGACCCAUAUGCAGGACAGGAGCUCCUCUGCUACCAAAGCAGAGCAAAGCAGGAUACUGUAACCACCUAUUAAUAGAUAGAUUAUUUUUUUGUAGGAAGUAUCUUCUUGUCCCCAUCCUGAACGCGUGUUUAUCUGUUUGGCUACAUCUGAAAAACCGGGUAUUCUUUUUAUUUAGCUUGAAUUCUCCUGACAUGGUAUUGUACCAUUUGAAAAACAAUAUAAUCAUAUCCUCUUUAUAGACAUAUUUGCACACCUUGAUGAAAACAUGUUACUUCUUAAAAAAGAAGGGAGUGUCUCUUCCUUAACUUACCAGAGAUAUCCUAGGCAUUAAAAAUAUGAAAAUUCCAUACAGAUUAAAUAUUGAUUUUAUUUUUUUAGAGAGCAAGUACAAUGAUGUUGCAUUAAAAUAAUGCUAUGUCAUACUUGUUACAGCUCUGAUAGAAAAAUAAACAUCUCAAUAUACUACAGUGUCAACUCAUUAAUAAAUAUCAAAAUGGAAGUUAGUAGUCAACUGAAUUUAAUCAACAGCUAUAAAAGGAUACUAUUUUAAAUAAUAAAAUAUUCAGUAUAUUUUCAGACAAACAAAAGUAGUGAUUUAAAAGUAUCAUUUAAAAUGGAAGAGGGACAGUAGGAAGUUACAGAUAUAAUUAAACCAUCUUCCCUAACAUUCUCUAUGCAUAAAAUCUAGGGAAACAUUAUUCAUCUGUAUAUAAUUUUUUUACAAAAGGUAGCACAUGUUAAAUAGAAAGUAUAAAACUGUAGUAUUAUUAAUCAUUGUCACAUCAUUGCUAAAUAAGACACUUUGAAGCAGUAGUAGGCAAAAGUGAAGAUGUUAGCACAGUGAAUUCUUCUAAAACAAAUGUCUUCCUAAAUGAAUCUUUCAUCUUUCAGCCUCGCCUUUCAAAAUACAAACAACUCGAACACAACACAUGUAUCAUGAUGAAAAGUUAGGAUCUGAGCUGUUGUUCAAAUGAAAGUCUGAUUCAGAACUAUUUUUUAAUAAGCAGAAAAGUCAACAAAGAGCAGCAUUUCUAAAACUUAAGAAUCUAUUAAUUUUCUGGGGUCUUUUUAAUUUUAUUUUAAUUUUAUUUUUCCCAGAAUGACCAACCAUUCUGAGCUGGCUUGUACUCAGUGAAAUCCCACUGAUUUGGCUCACUAUACAAAAACACUCACAUUCGCUACGUCUAACCUUUUUUGUUCUCUCCAUGAAUUUCUGUUCUCUGUAAUACCAAUGAGACAUCUGUGCAUCGAGAAGUAUCAAGAUUACCAUAGCAAAGUAGUGUCAUUCUUAACACUGCUCCACUUCUGUUUACCAAAUAGAUCUUGCACCUCUGUUUCAAAGGGAGAGCAAGAACACUGGCAUCAUAGUUCAUCCACAGAGCAGAGUAAAUGCCACACAGCACCCUUAUGAGAAGCACCCUUCCUGUGUACUGAAAACAUCACUGAAAUCUGGCAAUGCAGGUCCUGGGGCUGGGGAGAAGCUGAUGGACAGAUGCCCAAGGACUUUGCAGAAGGCUUGCUUUCUAUCAAGGAGGGCUGCAGCACCCAGAUUUACAGUACCUCAUUAGGUUUUAUGCAAGCAGUGUUUAAUGAAUAAAGAUGCAAACGGGCUGCAGUGUUGAUAACGGCAGACUGCACAUCAUGCAUCUUCAAAGUGACAAGGCUUCCUGCCCUUGCAGGUGGAGAAAUAUGGUCCCAGAGCACAAUCUCUGUUGAGCUGCCAUGAGGAACAGUGGGUUGCAUUGGGUCUGCUUGGGAUACCUACUGCAAAGGCAUUCCCUACACCCUUCUGUCCUGGGCAUUGCUGUCCCUUAUGGCCACCACCAGGAGUAAGGGUUGCUUGAAACUGCUUCACAUGUUCACUCCCACAGUUUAUGCUGCACGUGCAUUUAAGUAUGCACACUAAGCAGAAAACAAAUGUAUGAUCAGACUGGGAAAAUAUUUUUUUUCCACCACGGUCUGAAGAAUACUUUACAUAGUAGGUUUUCAUGACAUCAUAGAAAGGAAAAAAUAAGUCCAGUUAGUUAUAGUAGCUAAAAUGUAAACUAUGCCUACACAGCUGUCCUUCCUUUUUAAGGUCCACUUGAAACAUUGUUUGUGAACAUUAGGGAAUUUCAGCCAGUCACAAUGAAAAUUUCUCACAUACCAUGUGCACGUUUUCUGGAUGAAACAGCUAUUUUCCCACACACCAUCUGUAGUGGUGUUAUUAACUUGCUCAUGAUGCUUGGAAAUAAUCAGUGCAUAGCAUUCUUUUCAUCUCUCCCAGGGCCUCCAAAAACAAAUCUGAAGAUGUAUGUGUUUUAGUUGUAUGAAUGUGCCAUUUCUGCAAUGUUACGUAGUUAAUAAACCGAAGGUAAAAAUAAUGUGGGAUUAGAACUGACAUUUUCUAACAUGUACAAAUCUGCUGCGAAGGGUAUGGAAGAUCCUCUGUCUAGGAGAAAAUCUAGAAUAAAUGCUGCAAAUCAGCAAUGAAGUGCCAUAGUAUCUCUAAGCAUACUAUUAGGUAUAGGUAUGUAGUCAAAUUAUCUGACCUUCUUUCCAUUUUUUUCAAGCAGCCUAGUAUAUUUCAAAAUAUUCCACUUUAUUCAGAAGUUUGAAAUAUACUACACUGAGGCUAGAUAUUUUCCCUGUAUUUUUACAAGCAUCUUUGAUGCACAGUACUUUGAAAAUUAAUCUGAACUAAUUUCUUUGUGAUAUCUCCCAUAAUAAGCGCUAUAGGAAGCACAGGCCUUCUGUGACUGCUGAGGAAAUUCCUUGUGAAUUACAGGCUGCUUUCUCAUUUAAGGUCAUGUGCUGAGGGAACACAGCUCCCUAAAUAGUGAGGCUUUUGUUGGUCUAUUCAUCUCCUGCAGCAGCUCUUCUGAAAAACAUGGUCAAAGGCAGAAGGAAACAAGCACUGAGUAAAGCCAGAGUUUCUCAUGGAUAGAUUCCAUCCUCAGAAACAAAGCCUCCUCCCAAGGAUCCUGCUCUAUGUAGGCUCCCCAUGGGCCUUCUAAAAGCCUUGACCUGUCACAUUAGCAACAGCUUAUUCUUUUUUCACCAGAUCCCUCUACAAUACAGCGAAGCACUGAGCAAGAUGCAAGAAAAGCCUUUUUAUAAAAUGCUUCUUUUUCUUUCUUCCUUUCCUUUUUUAUUUAUUUUUUUAACUUAAGACUUUGUCCUGAAAGCCUGCUGUGUUUGAACAGAGCAUAUCACACAUUCAGGCAGGUGUCUGAUAAAGACAUACUGUCUGCACUCCUGCACAGGCAGCACUGCAAUGACAACAAAGUGCUACAGGAGAAAAGUGGCAGCAAUAGGAUGUGUCUGGAUGAUAGGUGGUACAGAUUAUAUCUUUCUUCCACACCAGCUCCUUUGCCCUCCAUCUAAAUUUAGCUUCCUCUAGCAGUGAAAAAAUUAAUUCUAGAGACAAAAACCAAUACCUGUCACUUCAGAAAGUGGCUUAUGGGCUGUUAGGAGAAACACAUUUUGGUGAAUGUUUUCUGUUCAAAAACAAUUAUAUAAUAGAAUCACAGAAUUGUGGAAUGGCCUGGGUUGAAAGGGACCACAAUGAUCAUCCAAUUUCAACCUCCCUGCUAUGUGCAGGGUCACCAACCACUAGACAAGGCAGCCCAUCAUAGUUUUUGUUAUACAGGAAGGUAUUCUCUUGUGAGGUUUUAUUUCUUUGUUUUGUUUUUCUAAGCGAAAAAGAUGGUCAGAUACUUUUUUGCCUACUCAAAAACCGUGUGACAAGAACAAUGAUAAGUAAACCUUAACAGGUUUUUAAUCAUAAUCCCCCUGAAAACAGUGGUUCAGGUUGACUCUGCCUGUUAGUGCACAGCAAUAAUCUGCUCUCUACCAUCACAAGGAGUUAAAAGGGUGAAAAAAUGUUUCUGCUUGAAAUUCUAGCUCAAAUUCUGUUUUCAUGUGAGCUUAUAUUGGUCCCGUUGUGUUUACAAGAGUUUUGUCCAUUACUGAAGGCAGAAUUUGGUCCUACAAUUAUGAAGUCAGUUAGUAUGUUCCUCCGCUUCUUUCAAACUGCAGAUUCUUUGUCACAUCAAGCCGGACACAUUUCUCAAUGCACAGAAACAAAAAUUAAAGCAGUAAAGUACAAAAUGAGAAAAACGAAUCCUGUCAACUAAUUUACGAAGAAAAAAGAGUGAGUGUGUAACAUCAGACUUAUGUCUGACAUACAAAAGGAACAAGACCUUACUUGGCAAAAGUACAAGUAGCUUGCAGACCAAAGACAUCUCUGGUGUAGUUUAUCAAACUGGAGCUGAUGCUGCUGACUCCAAAGGCACAGUCAGCAGGCAGUGGUUACAAUGCAUGUGGUGCUGGUGGACAGAGGAACUCAUUUUCUGUAGCCAUGCAGUUUUUCGAAUAUCUUAAUAUUCACAUAAAAGUUUUAUGAUGAAAAAAGCAAACAAAGCUAAAAAGUACUUGUCAAAUAUAAAUUAUCUUUAGGUGACAUGACACACACACGAAAAAACCUACAUAUAUAUUUGUCUGUGUGCAUCUGUAUGUGUGCGUACCUACACACACACACUGGUAACUAAGCACUCGUUUAAUCCAGUCAUUUUUAUUAAGCAAUGAGGAAAAGCUAAGAGACUAAAGCAGACAAAUCAGUGGAAUUUAGUCAACUGAGAGAACUAUAAAAGUACCAUUUACUCUAUUUUAAGAGCAUUCGAAUAGUUUCACCUAUUGCUAUAAUAUACAGCAAUGUUAAUAAUUCAGUCACAGUUUUUGUCCAUUCCCACAGAGCACAUCAGUACUAGCUAAAAAUAGAGCGAGAUCAGUGCUUUGUCAGAUCUGUUCGUAUCUACAUUCUAUGACAGAACUAAAUAAAUUAGAAUACAUUAAAGUGCUACAUCAACACUAAUGUUCCUGAACAGUAGUAACGCACAUUUUCUUUAAAAUAAAAUAAAAUAAAA